GUCAAGAGAGUGAAGGGAGUGUGCGGCGAUGGCGGAGACGGAGACAUUCGCUUUCCAGGCUGAGAUCAACCAGCUUCUGAGUCUGAUCAUCAACACCUUCUACAGCAACAAGGAGAUCUUCCUCCGCGAGCUCGUCAGCAACGCUUCGGAUGCUCUUGACAAAAUUCGCUUUG